UACGUAGGGACCAAGCGUUGUUCGGAUUUACUGGGCGUAAAGGGCGCGUAGGCGGCAUGACAAGUCACUUGUGAAAUCUCCGGGCUUAACUCGGAACGGCCAAGUGAAACUGUCAAGCUAGAGUGCAGAAGGGGCAAUCGAAAUUCUUGGUGUAGCGGUGAAAUGCGUAGAUAUCAAGAGGAACACCUGAGGUGAAGACGGGUUGCUGGGCUGACACUGACGCUGAGGCGCGAAAGCCAGGGGAGCAAACGGG
rnacentral:rRNA from 1 species